GGAACUAAAAUGACCAGACAGUGGCAUGAGAAUUAAAUGGGCUUUCUAAUGCAUUUUGGUAUCCAAGGAAAGUCCAUUAUAUAAUUGCAACCCAUUGUUAUAUUAAUCUUUUACUUUGGAUUAUGUUUUGAAAUUGUCCUGGUUUUAUGAUACCCAGUAUUUUUUUGUCUCUGUUUAUUUUGCUCGUAAAAUAUUUCCUCACUGUUUGGUUGUUUUUCUCUAUUUAAAAAUAUUACAUAGUGGUGUAAGAAUUUGUAUUCCUGAUACUUAGGGGGUUCUUUCUGAGUGAUGGCUGGUGUUGAGGCAUGGAUCUAGUUGAUGUAGAAGGUGGUUCUAGAGGAAAUCUCUUGAUAGGCCAACUAUGGUUUCUGUUUCUCUGGAAAUGUAUGGCUUCUAAAUUGCCCAUAAUUUUCCUAGAAAAGUUUUAAAUGCAAUUUCUCCUUUCCUAGAGAAGUUUUAAGUGAGAAUUUUUUUCCUAAUAAAUGUUUAACCAUUCCAUCCUUAGAAUUCUACUUCACUAUAGAAUUGCAUAUUUUAAAAAUAAUUUCAUAUAGUUAUUACCUAAAAUACUCCAAUUGUAAAACAAGCCAAGCCUAUUAUCUUUAUCAUAAAUCUAAUAAAUUAAUAGUGGCUUACAAAAAUCUUGAGCCCUAUAACAGUGGCAAGUUGUUUUCAAGACUUUAGACUAAUUGGUUACUCAUUCUGCUUAGUGUAUACAAGAAAGUGGCUUAUGUUUAUAAGUGCCAGUUUGUCUUUAUCUCUCAUUCAUUAUUUCAGCAAGUAUUUAUUAAGCUCUCAACUUGUGCCAGAUACUGUUUCAGGUGCUGGGGGCAGGGUAUAAGGUGGUAAACAAAAGAGACAAAGCUCUCUGCCUUCAUAGAGCUUGCAUUCCUGUAGGGGAAAGACAGAUGAUAAAUAAGUAAAACAUAUGGGGGGUUAGAUGAUAAUAAGGGCUGAGGAGAAAAAUAAAGUGGAAAAGCAGAUAGGGCAUGAGGUAAGAGUGGGAUGAUGUCAUCUGGGGCCUUGCAAGGACUUUAAUCUUUUAUCAUGAAUGAGACAGAGCCACAAUAGAGUUUUAAUCAGAGGAAUGACAUGAUCUGACUUAAGGUUUAGUAGGAUCAAGCUGACUAUUGUGUUGAGAAUAGACUGGUGGAGGACAAAGGUUAGGAGACUUUUGCAAUAAUCCAGGCAAGUAGGAUCAUUGCACUACACAACUCCAAGAAGCAUCAUUCACCCUGUAGUCUCUGUGGAUGGUGCUUCCUGUAAUGAGCAGUGUAUAGCCCAACUGAUGUAGUUAAGGGCCCUGCAGGCAAGAGAGCUUGGACAAGGGUGAAUGCAAUGUGAGUGAUGAGAAGUGUUUAGUCUAGAUGUAUUGCGAAGGUAGAACUAAUAGAAUUUGCUGACACGAUAGAUGUGGGGUAUGAAAGAGUCAAGUAUGAUUUCAAGG
rnacentral:lncRNA from 1 species